UCAUUUUAUACUAAUUUUAAACCUAAAUUUAUCUCUUUCUCUCAUGGUUCUCCAAAGCCGAAACAAACAAAGCGACACCUCCCUCCUUCCCUCUCCCAUUGUUUAAUCUGUCAGUACCUUUCAAGAUUGUGAUUAACUCUUCAAUGACUCGCUAAAUCACAGAGAAGCAUCGCCAAAGAACAAAUUAAUCGCAGAUUUGAAUUCAGUAUCUGUGAAUCUGGAAAUCAAACGAUGGCGCUAGGCUAGUAAUCACGACGAUUAUAGGAGUCGUAUUUGGAUUUUUUUUUAUAGGUGCUUCGAUUCCGUCUGUGUCUCUAAAUAAGGUAUUUUGGGCUCCUCGUCAUCGGUUUUUAUUUUUCUUUGUUUUAUUUUUUUGGGUGUAAUAGUAAAACGACCAUUGAUUUUUUAUUUUUUUAUUUUUUAUGCUUAAUGAUCAUUGCACUUAAUGGGGGCAAGAAUUUGAUCCUACUGCAACUUAUUUUAGUCAUAAAUCUAUUACUUUUCAUCUAGUUUGAAAAUUUUCUAUUUUGCUUCUUAUGAGGAAGAACAUA